GUGCAUGCAGCCCCUGUCAUGUACCCCUUGCUUGCUCAAAUCAAUCACGACCCUUUCAUGUGAAAUCUUUAGUGUUGUGAGCCCUUAAAAUGGACAGAAAUUGUGCACUCAGGGAGCUUGGAUUUUAAGGCAGUAGCUUGCUGAUGCUCACAGCUGAUUAAAGCCCUCCCUUCUACAGCUCAGUGUCUGAGAGAUUUUGUCUGCGGCUGGUCCAGCUACAUUUCUUGCUUCCCUGACCAAGAGGGAAAUAAGGUAAUUGAUGGACAGCCAAGGCAGCCCCUUAGGCAGCUUAGGCCUGCCCUGUGGAGCCUCCCUGCGGGGGACUCCGGCCAGCCUGAGUGACUCGAUCCAAAAAGCUCUCCCAGGUAGGAAAUUGCCCCAGUGGAAUGCCUCACCAGAGCAGCGCGUAGCAGGCACCCACAGAGGAUUAACACAGUGGCUCAACACCAGCAAGGAAGUGGCACUUGGAGUCUGGAUAUCUAAAACUUGAUCAACGACUAGAACGUGGCUCCACUGUGGCCUUGGUAGAAGGGACCCCAGAUCAUUAUCCUGACCACUCCCACAGCUAUAAAGGUAGAAGGAAUCCCAUCCUAGAUUCACACAGCUGCAUGAAGCCUGCAACCGCUAAGACCUAGGAGGCCAGACCAAGCCUGGACAAUAUCUGCAAAGUGACCUUGAAGACAACAACAAGCCCUGCUUCAGUCACACCUGGAAGUUGACUGGUCUAUGCAUGGCCGAAGCAUGAGGAAAAUCAUCAUGGGACUUAUUUUCCUUAUAACAUGGACCUGUGUGGAAGAAGCUUCCACUGCUUCUUCCCACACAGAGAACUACCUUCAGUGCAUACAACAGGUCACUGAGGUAAGACAAGUUAAGACAAUCUUUUUAUUUUACAGCCAUUAUGAAUGCCUAGGAACUCCAAAAGGAACCUGUUUGUAUAAUAACACCCAGUACAAAGUAUGUAAUCCAGGAAGUUACCAGCCUGAUGUGUGCUAUGACCCCUCUGAACCCUCC
rnacentral:lncRNA from 1 species